rnacentral:rRNA from 1 species
AGUGAACGCUGGCGGCGUGCUUAACACAUGCAAGUCGAACGAGAACGGAUUAUAGCUUGCUAUAAUUGUCAGCUAAGUGGCGCACGGGUGAGUAAUGUAUAGGUAAUAUGCCUCUUACUAAGGGAUAACAAAUGGAAACGUUUGCUAAUACCUUAUACUCCUUAUUAACAUAUGUUAAUAAGGGAAAGAUUUAUUGGUAAGAGAUUAGCCUGUAUUGUAUCAGUUAGUUGGUGGGGCAAUGGCUUACCAAGACUAUGACACAUAACUGGUUUGAGAGGAUGAUCUGUCACACUGGAACUGAGACACGGUCCAGACUCCUACGGGAGGCAGCAGUGGGGAAUAUUGCACAAUGGACGAAAGUCUGAUGCAGCAACGCCGCGUGGAGGAUGACACAUUUCGGUGCGUAAACUCCUUUUAUAUGAGAAGAUAAUGACGGUAUUAUAUGAAUAAGCACCGGCUAACUCCGUGCCAGCCGCCGCAGUAA